GGGAGCGCGUGCGUGGUGGAGCGCGCGCGCCCCCGCCCCCUCCACCGUUUGGGGGUGGGGAGUGGCGGGGAGAGAGAGAGAAGACCGAACCGUUUUCUCCGCGGAGAGGUUUGGCCCUGGCUCUGCCUCUCUGUGAGACUUUAUAAAAUUUCAAGACUGUGGAUGAUGGUACUCUCCUCCAAAGAAGAAUUCACCUUCUGGCAGUGAGAUACACUUCAGGCAUAUCGCCUUUAUCCAGAACCUUGACUGAAUUUCUUACCUCUCAUUUCUGAAAAAUGCUUGGUAAAUAUUCCCACUAUUUUCUGCAAAGUGAGAAAAGAAGACACAGCUUCUUAUGUGAGCUCUCAACAGUGCUCUGCAAUCAGGACUUCACUUCUCCAAGUGGGGGUCGCCUUUGCAGGAGAGUUCAGCUACCAACAGCUGGGCAUCCACGGGACAGGAGCAGAAUAAUGAAUUGCCUACUUGAAGAUUCAAGGGGAAUUUUGAGGGCGUGGAUUUUUUCCAGGUUCUUGGGCUCUGAGGGUGCCCUGUUUUAAAUCUCCUAUCUGUCAUCCUGGAGCCCAGACGUGCUGCCUGCCUUGCCCUCAGCUGCCUGAUGUCCCAGCCCGCCUGGACUCUUUCUUAGCCACUGCUCUGACGUCCACAUACUUGGAGUGCUUCCGGUCCUCCUGGUAAACCUCGAGAGAUCCCGUCUCCAGCCGGUCACAGCCCUGGGGUGACUGUGGAUCUGGCUUCUGCUACCUGUUCAGAAAUGAGGUACCUGUGUGCUACCUUCUGGGGAGCUGAGUUCAUGUGUGUCUGGUAAACAUCCUUCUUCCGCCUUUCCUGGUUGUCACUGCUUCCAGAAACGCUAUGGGACAGAUUAGGUAAGAAGUGCUACCAGCGAAAGACUGGCCAGAAAUGAAGAUGAAUCAUCUUUGAAAUGGUCAUGGAGGUUGCUAGGAGUAUUGACUCGAUUUACAAAACUUCUGUUUACUCACGACUUUCCCGGUAGGAGAAAGGCAGGAUGCCUGUAGUGAUAGCCAACUGCAGCAUCCCUAGAGACGCAUGUCCACGGAGUCAUCCGGAAAAACACCCUGGGGACAAGGGGCUUUUCAGAGGAGACGGUGCUGGAGCUUGGCGGUACCCACACUGGAUUGUCUGGUUUUCCUCCAGCAGCAUUUGGUCCCGAGGCUGCCCCGCGGCAGAGGAGUGGGGGCAGGGAGAGCCGCGACACCAAAGCUUGAAGGGCAGCUGAAUAGGAAGCAGCUUACAGCAUGUGGGCUCAAUUUUCCUCCAAAAGCUCAUAAUAUAACUGUCAAAAAUGGCACUAUGAACCCUAGUUGUAAGGUAAUUAUGUUCAGUCCCACAUUCAACACAAUAAACGUCAUUUGCUCGCAAGCCCUAGCAACCAUCUCAUAAGGGGGAGAAAAAUACUGUACAAAAAACAAAAUGUAAACUCACAAGGCAGUAAUAAAACAGGCACACAACUAUUCAUUUCAAGUCUAUUUUGAAAAGCCUUUGAUAAUACCAGUAAUUCCCCAUAAAGCUCAUAGUCUCCUGCCACAGUUCCCUGCUGGAGAUAGAAAAAGGUUUUGCUGUUCUACAGUCAUUCCAUUUAAGGAGAUAAAGUCCACUUUCUUUCCCAAUUUUAAAUGUUUUUCAUUCUUAAAAAAAAGUUAAAUCCCUAACCACCUAUAUCCAGCUAAGCCUACCACCUAGGCAGGGCUCAGGGGCAGUAUCCAUGCGACUACUUCUUGUUUUGCACAACAAAAUUCAUUCAGUGGUCUUAACAAGGUGCUUAAAUGGAGUCCAAGAGCCUUGUCCAUAAGGUACUGAAACGUUCCCCAAAAGGUAGAAAAUUCAACCAACCGUCUGCCCAUUUCUAAAUAUUCUGAUGCUUCUGAGCACGCAGGCCAGGUGGUCUCCCUUUUACAUCCUGGCUGACACGAGGGAGGCUGAGCAACUCCUCCGGGCACCACUGGCAGGUGUACCUACAACAGAGGAAGGAAGGGGUAGGGGCUUGAGAUACACCUUUGGUUGUAAGAACAGAAACCUACUUAGACAAGUAAGAGGGUGAUGGUUAUAUCCUCUCAUGGACCCCGAGGAAAAGCUGAGCAAUCGGGCCUCGGGGAGAGCGGGAACCAGCAGCAAUUUGGGUGGGGGAGUGAAGUGGCAGGGAAAGGACAGGCAGGGCCGUGUACAGGGACAGAGGUCCCUAGAAGGGACUGGGCAUGUGGGUAAUUAGUCCCUUUAAUACAGGAAGACAGAAAGGAAAAGAAAGAAGAACAGAAGGUGGGGGAUGAAGUAAAAUAAUAGGAACCAAAGUGAAAAGGAAGAUAGGCAUUAACUGAGGAGUGAAGAAAUGUCAUCAACAAAAGUUUCAGCCAGCAGUCAGCAGCUCCCUGGUGCUGAAGGUCAGCCCGUCCCCUUCAAUCAAUCAACUAAAGCUUAGACGCUGCCUACUGUCCGAGCCCCUUCAUGGAUAUGCAUGUAGCCACAGCUUAAGAGUCCCCUAAUUUUGUUGUUUGGAGAGACACUUCUUUGGGAAACAACCCCAGUGUUCUUAUUUGCUGCAAGUAAUAAUAAACCCUUCAUUCUCCCGGGGCGGGGGUGGGGGGAUCAGCUGUCCCUAAUGUAGAACCAGCCCGUGUAGUACUGCAAAUACAAAGCCCUUCUAAUUUACCCACGUUGGUCAUUCUGAUUUACAUGAUUUAUAUUCUGAUUUUACGGACUAAUUGUAAAGAGAGAAAGUUGUAUUCAUUGAAAGGAUGUGUAUGAUCUUGAAGAAGUCCAUGUACUUUUCACGCUUCAGUUUUAAAAACUUGGCUUAUACAUACAAUAAACGUAAUCCAUAAUUGUAUUGGGGGCACACUGAUAUUUCUUGCUACAACUGAUGUGAACAUCAGUUUACUUCACUAGGUUUAUCUUUACAGAUAUGGCAUCAAUUCUUUGUCCCAAGGUGUAUGCCCUAAACUUUAAUAAAUCGUUGUUUCAAUUCCACUUCAA